ACUCUGGACUUCUACUUAAGGAAAAGGGAGAGAUUUCCCAGUGUGGAAUGACGUUCCAUGGCACAGGCUGUGUUCACCCCAUGGCACCCCUCAGGAACCAGGGUGCUUUGAAUGUCCCCUGGAAGUUGGCUCAGUUUGUGCAAGGGCUGCUGGGAUGAGCUAUGGGGCAGAUGGGCUGAGGACCACCAGUAACUGAGUUUUAAUUGGGACCCAAAGUUUCCAGGCUCUGCUUCUUAGAACAUGGCCCCAAACAAUGGUGGGAGCCCAUAGGUUCCCAUCAGGGUCCUGAGCAGAGAGAGCCAUAGAGUGGGUGACUUUUAUCUGCAGAAGCCCAGCCUUGCUCUUCUCCCCCUCUGUUUCUUGCCUCUCCCUGGUGUAUCACGUGUAUCAGCACCUUCCUCCAGGUCUCAAGAAAGACUCCUAGGUCAGUGGAGUGAAAAGAGCUGGGACUUGGAGAGGGAAGACCUGGGCUUGGAUCCCAAACCUCACACCAGCUACCCACAUUACCUCAGGCACAGGCUCUCUGAACAUCCGAGAAUGAAGAUAGCUACAGCCCACCGACCUCACAGGCACUACUGCAUGCCAUCCUGUUUCUUCAUGAAAAGCUGGAAGUCAUUCCUAGCUCUACAGCUGUGGGUCCCAAUCUUGGAGGCUGUUAGAAUCUUUGAGGGAGUUUUAAAAAUGUGAUGCCCAAGCCACAUGCAGACCAGGUGAUGAAAUUGGCACAGAACACCAAAGGAUGGAGCUGAGAUUCAUGCCUGGGCUGCCUCCCCACAAUCCCCUCACGUUGAAUCCAACCCUGACUUUUGUGUCCCACCGAGGAAAGAAGAAAGCCACCCACCCCAGUGACCAUGGCCUCUAACUGCUCUCUCUGCCUGUGGAAAGCCAGUGGAUUGGGCUAGGACACAAAUGCCUUCCAUCGAUUUUCCUUUCAGCUUUUAUUGGGCACUGUUCAUGGGACUCUUUAAACAUCAGUGUGGUUUCCCAUGGCCUUCUGAGGAGCUGUAAAACUUCUUUCCUUGCCAUUCAAGUUCAAUUCUGGCCUCAAUAGAUUCUAUCUUGUUUUAUGCUUUUAAUGGAAUUCAAGUUUACAGAAUAAAAUGAAUCAUUAUUCUUGAUUCAUGAUACAUGCUCAUCUUUGCUCCAUACUUGACUCUCCUGCUGUCUUGUAUUUUAUUUCAUUUAUUUACUAAUUUGUUUUUAGUAAUAUAAUGAAAACCAAGAUUCAUACCACUCAACCCAAGAAUUUCAGCACUGGCCACUAAAGUCUAUAUGCCCUUCUGGCUUUAUUUCUCCACUCAGACGGGUAGCCUCCAGCCUGAAUCAGGCAUUAUGGUUCUCUUGAUGUUUUUAGUGUACAGUGUUAGCAAGGGUGUGUAUGUGUGUGUGAGCCUGAACAAUAUAUUGUUUAGAUUUGGUAGCUUUGUAUUCUUAAAAGCUAUUCUCUAAGCUGUAGUUAUCACCAUUUAGCCUCCAUACAGUAGGAUCUAAGAAUAUGGAACUUAUUAGAAAUGCUAAUUCUUGAGUCCCACCCCAGACCUACUGAAUUGGAAAUUCUGAUUUGCAUUUCUCUGAUUACUAAUAAGGUUAACAACCUUUUAAUUUCCUGACUGGAUGUUUGUGCUUCCUCUUCUCUGAAAUGCCUCACAGACAUUUGCCGAGAGUUUUUAAGUUGUAUUGUUUAUCAUUUACUGAUUGAUUUUAGGAGUUCUUGAUGCAUUUUUGACAGGAAUUCUUUCAGGUUAAAUGCAUUGAGAAUAUUGUCUUCCAGGUAAUAGCUUCUGUUUUCAAUUUCUUUGUGCUGUCUUAUGAUGAGUGGGAUUUGUAAUUUUCAUAGAAUCAAGUGUUUUGCUCUUUUUUUGUGGUUGCCACAUUUUGAGUCUUCUUUAAGAAUUGUUUUCCUUACCCCAAGGAUAGAAACACCUAUAUAUUUUCUACUAAAGGCUUGAAAGUGUUUGCUUUUGACACAUAAGUCCUAAGGCCUUUCAGAAUUGCCUUGUAUGUGGUAUAAAGUUGGGAUCCAUGUUCACUGUAUUUUCCAAAUGAAUAGUCACUUUUUCCUGGCUACAUUUGUUGAAUAGCUCCCCCUUUUCCCCGUGAUGUCCUGUGACUCUUCUGUCAAAAGUUCAAGCUUCACAACUGUGUGUGGUUGUUUUUGGGCCAUCUAUUCUAUUACAUCAGCCAAUGUGUAUAUUUUUACACCAUCAACAACUGCCUUAAUUACACUCACUUCAUAGUAAAUGUUUAUAUCUGGUAAUCAAGUUCCCUUUCCAGAUGUGUGUCUACUGUUUCUAUUGGAAUUUUCAUUGAGCUUGUUUUGAACCGAUGGUCACUGUGGGGAGAAUUCCCACUUCCAGCGCUCUCUCCCGAGACUUCUUCCAGGAACCCGAGCUCUCAGUUCAAUUGACCGUCCUUGUUUCAAGCCUUUGCUCACGCUCCCUCUUGCUAAGCCCACCCCACCUCGCAAUUUAGAGCACACCCUGCUCUCUCCACUCUCACACUUCAAUGCUCGGCUCUGCCUCCUUCCCGAACCUUUUUCUAACAGCUCAAACCCUCGGGAUCCCCCCAUCCCAUUGAAAAGGGACAGUGCCUGUUGAAAGGAAGCUCUGUUAAAUGUUAGUUGUUAUAAUGAUUAUCAGACUAGUUUCUCCAUUCGCUGCGAACUUUUUUAAAGGUAAUUUAUUUUGAAUUUUUUCUUAAACAUUUCCUAAGAAUGACUAUAAUUCUUCAAAUUGUCUCUUAUUUUUCUAAAGCCAUAGCAAAGAGGAGGAACCGGUGACUUUCUAGAGGAAUUCCUGGCAGGACACCCCCGCCCAGCAGGAGCUCUGGGGUUGUGGCGGUGGACAGGCUGCCACUGGCCAAUGUCUCGUCUGAACUCAGCUGAUGGCUUUCUCCAGAUUCCCACCUUCAUAGAUUUGGGAUGAUUUUGAGGGAGAAUCUGGUCCAUAUAUAACCAGUCCUUUUUAAGUGAAUUUUCUCUGCGUAUGAUGUAUAAAGUCCCAAAUUAAAGAACUUGGAGAAGUUUUAUGGAUCAGUUUAUGGCUGCAUGAAAGUUGACUCUUUAAAAAUGUGUGGCCUUUGGUUCUCGUAAUAUUUGUUCUGUUUGUUUCUGUUCAAGUUACUAAUAAAAAUUAAUAAAUUGGCUAUUCUUGAGUCUUUGGAAACUGGUUGUGUUUCCAAAACAAAUACACCUGCCUGUGAUCAUCAUAAAAGUGAUCUAUCCAGAAUUAUCUGAGGUUGUAAAUGUUAAGAAGAAAAGACAAAAUUUAAAGCAUCAAAAGGCUCUAUGGAAACAAACUGCUCAGUAAUCUGUGUUUUUGAGAUGCAUUUAAUGAUCCAGAGUUAAAAUGCCAAAGUCAUUUUGUUUUCCUCAAUGUAGAAAUAAAUUACUUGGGAAAAGAGAGAG
rnacentral:lncRNA from 10 species